CUACAGGUUGCCUACCCCUGCUUUGCAAGGUUAUUUACUAACGUGAGAAUUAUUUUUUAAGUGAAUUUCAAAUUAAAAUAAUCAAAUUGUAAAAAUCAGCUAUGCUGGCAGCUCGGCUACUCUGGACAAAAAUGUAAAAGUCCCUUUGAAUUCUCAGGUUGGUAAAUAACCCUGUUGGUUUAACCCCUUAAGGACCAAACUUCUGGAAUAAAA